rnacentral:rRNA from 1 species
CCUACGGGAGGCAGCAGUGAGGAAUAUUGGUCAAUGGGCGGAAGCCUGAACCAGCCAAGUAGCGUGCAGGAUGACGGCCCUACGGGUUGUAAACUGCGUUUAUACGGGAAUAACGCGCCUUACGUGUAGGGCUUUGCAUGUACCGUAUGAAUAAGGGCCGGCUAAUUCCGUGCCAGCAGCCGCGGUAAUACGGAAGGUCCGGGCGUUAUCCGGAUUUAUUGGGUUUAAAGGGAGCGUAGGCGGCAUGUCAAGCGUACGGUGAAAUGUCCGGGCUCAACCCGGGCCUUGCAGCGCGAACUGGCGUGCUGGAGUCCGCGGAAGGAAGGCGGAAUUCGUGGUGUAGCGGUGAAAUGCUUAGAUAUGACGAAGAACACCGAUUGCGAAGGCAGCUUGCUGCAGCGGAACUGACGCUGAUGAUCGAAAGCGCGGGUAUCGAACAGGAUUAGAUACCCUAGUAGUC